rnacentral:rRNA from 1 species
GAUGAACGCUGGCGGCGUGCUUAACACAUGCAAGUCGAACGGAAAGGCCCAAGCUUGCUUGGGUACUCGAGUGGCGAACGGGUGAGUAACACGUGGGUGAUCUGCCCUGCACUUCGGGAUAAGCCUGGGAAACUGGGUCUAAUACCGGAUAGGACGAUGGUUUGGAUGCCAUUGUGGAAAGUUUUUUCGGUGUGGGAUGAGCUCGCGGCCUAUCAGCUUGUUGGUGGGGUAAUGGCCUACCAAGGCGUCGACGGGUAGCCGGCCUGAGAGGGUGUACGGCCACAUUGGGACUGAGAGACGACCCAGACUCCUACGGGAGGCAGCAGUGGGGAAUAUUGCACAAUGGGCGCAAGCCUGAUGCAGCGACGCCGCGUGGGGGAUGACGGCCUUCGGGUUGUAAACUCCUUUCGCUAGGGACGAAGCGUUUUUGUGACGGUACCUGGAGAAGAAGCACCGGCUAACUACGUG